AACGAACGCUGGCGGCGUGCCUAACACAUGCAAGUCGAACGAGAAAGGGGCUUCGGCUCCGAGUAAAGUGGCGCACGGGUGAGUAACACGUGGGUAACCUGCCUCUAAGAUUGGGAUAACUCGUCGAAAGAUGAGCUAAUACCGAAUAAGACCACAGUUCCCGCGGGAACAGGGGUCAAAGGUAGCCUCUGCUUGCAAGCUAUCACUUAGAGAUGGGCCUGCGCACCAUUAGCUAGUUGGUAGGGUAACGGCCUACCAAGGCAAAGAUGGUUAGCUGGUCUGAGAGGAGUAUCAGCCACACUGGAACUGAGACACGGUCCAGACUCCUACGGGAGGCAGCAGUGGGGAAUAUUGCGCAAUGGGCGAAAGCUUGACGCAGCAACGCCGCGUGAGUGAUGAAGGCCUUCGGGUCGUAAAGCUCUGUCGGGAGGAACGAAUGCUCCUGAGGUUAACAGCCUCGGGAGGUGACGGUACCUGCAAAGGAAGCACCGGCUAACUCUGUG
rnacentral:rRNA from 1 species